CACAUAUAUACAUUCAUACAUAUACUUACAAAUAUAUAUGCACACAUUUACACACACACAUAUAUAUGGGGAAUUGCAGGCACACCCAGAACAUACAUUUCUAAGUAGUGGUGCUGCUGUAAAGACCAACAUAUAUACAAAAUACAGAUGGUACAAAAAAAUACAGUUUUAAUUUUAAGGUUUAAGGUUUAAGGUUACUUAAAAUGCUAAACAGAUAUCAAAAACUCUACUCAAUUUAUGCUUUUCUGUUGUCAUCUCCAAAGGGGUACCUAUAGUUAAUGGUUGGAAAAAGCAUAAAUUGAUGUCUGGAUGCAGUUUAAGUAGUAAGUAUUGCAGUUAGCAUGUAAAUCUCCUAUUUAGGACUCACAUAUUGGGAACCUGUGCUGUAGUGGUGGGCUUAAUACAAUAGGGCCAUAUGGUGUAAAUUAAUCCCUAUGCUGAGAUAGGUGAUUUUAAAUUUGGAAAAUAUAAACUGUAUUUUUUUUGUGUGCGCUGUUCCCUACAUACAUACAUUAUAUAUAUACACACACACAAUUAUAUAUACACUUUACGGAUUGUGAAUAUGAAUAUAUGAGUGUACUGGCCUGUUGAUAAAAAUAACAGAUGUGCAGCAAGAGGAACCUGGCCAAUAUGUAUGUAGACACAAUAUAUACAGAGCAAAUAUAUCAUGAGUAUAAUUAAAUAGCACAAUACAACACAACACAAAAACAAAGAUAAACAGUGUAUAGGGCUUUUGUAUUGAUAUGUGAAAU